GGUAGCGUGGCCGAGUGGUCUAAGGCGCUGGUUUUAGGCAACAGUCUCUUCGGGGGCGUGGGUUCGAAUCCCACCGCUGCCA
rnacentral:tRNA from 1 species